CAGGCCUCCAACUCGGGACAAUCCAAAGCAUGGUUCUUCACUCAACAGGACGCCCUCUGAUUAUGAUCUUCUCAUCCCUCCAUUAGGUGAAGAUGCUUUUGACGCCCUUCCCCCAUCCCUCCCACCUCCCCCACCUCCUGCAAGGCACAGCCUCAUCGAACACUCAAAACCUCCCGGCUCCAGCAGCCGACCAUCCUCAGGACAGGACCUUUUCCUUCUUCCUUCAGAUCCCUUUUUUGACCCAGCAAGUGGCCCAGUUCCUUUGCCUCCUGCUAGGAGAUUGCCAGGUGAAAAUGUCAAAUCCCACAGAACAUCACAGGACUAUGAUCAGCUUCCUUCAUCUUCAGAUGGUUCACAAGCACCAGCCAGACCUCCUAAACCACGACCCCGCAGGACUGCACCGGAAGUCCACCACAGAAAACCCCAUGGGCCUGAGGCAGCGUUGGAAAAUGUUGAUGCAAAAAUUGCAAAACUCAUGGGAGAGGGUUAUGCCUUUGAAGAAGUGAAGAGAGCCUUAGAGAUAGCCCAGAAUAAUGUGGAAGUGGCCCGGAGCAUCCUCCGAGAGUUUGCCUACCCGCCUCCAGUCUCCCCACGUCUAAAUCUAUAGCAGCCAGGACUGUCCACACCCAAAUGGCAAGCAAUCGCUAUUCCAGGAUCGUGGGAAAGAGACAAGUGAGACAAGGGGUCUCCUCGGCGCGGCAUCCUGAGAAGAGGCUUGGAAGUGCUGCUUCUCCGAAGACAGCUGCUCGCUCAGGAUGUCAACGGCUGCGCUUCCUUAUUUCUGCUAGCCAUACUUUUUAAAUCAGGGUUGAACUGACAAAAAUAAUUUAAAGACGUUUACUUCCCUUGAACUUUGAAUCUGUGAAAUGCUUUUCCUUGUUUACAAGUUGGCGAAGUUGCAGUUCGUUUUUGUUUGUAGUUUUGUUUUAGGGUUUUUGUUUUUGUUUUUUUGAUCCCUGUACUGUGUUCUUGACAGACCCGUGGUGGAGUGGUCAGGUCUGCUGUAACAUUUCCCACCAGCUCGCUCGCUGUCCGGUCAGCAGCUGAGUCACACGAUCAUUCGGCUCGCUUCCAUCACGCCGGCCCCACGAGCAGCCAGGUCCAAUUCCAUUUCUCCCAUUUACGAGAUGCUUCAAAGGUUCUGAUUUUCAACGUAUCGAACUAAUGAAAAAAAAAAAGUGUGUGGCCUUCACUACUGAGUCUUUUCUUUGGAAACCUUUGCUGUUGUGAGACGGGAAAAUUAUAUUAUGAAUGUAUAAAGCAUUUUUUCGUCCAUGAACUCACUGCCUUUUGAUAAGGGGUUUUUCAUAUGGUAUAGAGGAACAUCCCUUUUUAGUGUAAGUUUUGUGAUCUUUAACCUCCCAUAUUCUCAUCUUGGUCAUCCCAGGAGUGUCACUACUCUGUAAAAACAUAAAAUAUUAGGAAGCAACUACUGCAGAUGUGGGAGAAAUACACUUGCACAUGACCAUGCCGUGUUGAAGUUAUAUAAUGAGGUCCCCUGACAUUUACGCCUGCAUUGCUUUGAGGCAUGCUGAAUAAGAGGGCCGUCUCCCUGAAAUAUGUUAAUAAUUUUCAGAUAAAAUUAUGAUCAUGCCUCUCCCAAAGCAGAAUAGAGUUCAUUUCCUAUUUGAGUGCUUACACUCUGGUACCUAACAGGUGUAGGAACCAGUUCAUAUUGCAGUGAAAAAAGUUAAAUCUUUGAUGCACUGUUACGUGCCCAUGCUACUGUGGCAAUAUUCUGUUUUUCUUUUUCUUUUUUUUUCCUUUUUGGCAAACUCUCUACAAUCAAAUCAGAGUUCAUAUUUAAUUUGUAGAUUCUCAUUGUUCCAUCCAGUCAGGGGAAAGAAAUUUAUAUAGUUUUUUUUUUUCAAAAUGGAGGUUGGUUCUUCAGAAACCAUGUUAUUACUUUUAAUAAAUCUACAAAUAUUUAUUGAGCA
rnacentral:lncRNA from 1 species